rnacentral:lncRNA from 14 species
AAGACACCUCCUCCAUCAUUUCCGUUGUUGUUUAGACUCUUCAAGGGAUUUUUCUGUUUUGCUCUGGCCUUCUGUGGAUUGGUCCCAGCUGCCUGCUGGAGAUAUACGCACAGCACGGAGGUGGAAGAGAGCAUGAUGGAUGUGUAUGAUCUUGUGUAUGAGGAAGUGAGGAGGAAUGCCUCCAGCUUCAGGAGGCACGAGCUGACUGCCAUCCACAAAGCAGUAAGUUGUCCUUCUCAGCCUUAGCAGAAAACCUUCCCCUGAGGUAUCUUCCCAAGGUUUCAGCAGGCUGGGUCUGAU